UGUAGGAAUCAUCUAUCACCAAUUCGCCUGCCUCGAGUUCAGCCCCUGAAGACAAGCUGUCAUCUCCCAUGCCUCCACCAUAAUGACCUGUACCAAAGAAAACAACCAUGAACAGUUUCUAGAUUUCCUGUGGCAAAAGAAGAAAAAUGAAGAGCAGUUCUUCCCUUGUCAUCUGCUGCACAGGGGUCAACGUCAUCCUGCAGGAGCUUCCGCACUAAAAGAGGACAGAGUCAUCACCAAUCACAUUCUCUGCCUGUUGUUACUGCACCAUCUCACUCCUACCUGUGUCGAUGUCGUUGCUGUUUGCUGCUUCCCUCAGUCUUUUCCCAGCUGUGGAGAUAAGCGACGGGUAUGAAAAUCCUUUAAAAUGACUGGAUGAAUGAGGUCAAAGCAUCAAAACUGAAAAACAUCAUUCAUCAUGAGCUGCUUGAAAAAUGAGGCUGCUGAUAUUAAAAACAUGUGAUUAUAUCACA